rnacentral:rRNA from 1 species
AUGCCAACAACCCCCCGGAGCAGAAGCCAAGCUAGGACCACCAGGUCUUGGAUCUUGUCAGGCAUGGACUUCGGUGACACGAGACGCAAGCCUAAUUUCGCCGGAAAGAUCGCGGUGGCUGCUGCCCUCACUGUUAUGUGCAUACUUGUGUUGAAGCAGUCUCCUGGUUUUGGCGGCACUAGCGUGUUCUCUCGCCAUGAAACUGGGGUGACUCAUGUGCUGGUGACUGGAGGUGCUGGAUACAUUGGCUCACAUGCUACUCUUCGUCUCCUUACGGACAACUACCGAGUUACCAUUGUGGAUAACCUUUCGAGAGGGAACAUGGGAGCUGUCAGAGCUCUCCAGAGGUUGUUUCCAGAGCCUGGGAGGCUUCAGUUUAUAUACACUGAUUUAGGCGAUCCGAAAGCUGUGAACAAAAUGUUUUCGGAGAACGCGUUUGAUGCUGUUAUGCACUUCGCUGCUGUUGCUUAUGUUGGUGAGAGCACGCAGGAGCCACUAAGGUACUACCACAACAUAACAUCAAAUACGUUGACAGUGCUUGAGGCAAUGGCAGCACAUAAUGUAAAAACUCUGAUUUACUCGAGUACUUGUGCAACAUAUGGUGAACCUGACACAAUGCCUAUUGUAGAAACAACUCCUCAGAUACCUAUCAAUCCAUACGGGAAGGCAAAAAAGAUGUCCGAGGACAUCAUUCUAGAUUUCUCAAAGAAAUCGAACAUGGCUGUGAUGAUCUUAAGAUACUUCAAUGUGAUUGGAUCGGACCCUGAGGGGCGCCUUGGGGAAGCUCCAAGGCCUGAACUGCGUGAGCAUGGAAGGAUUUCUGGUGCGUGUUUUGAUGCAGCAUCAGGAAUCAUUCCAGGGCUAAAGGUUCGAGGAACGGACUACCCUACCGCUGAUGGAACUUGCGUAAGGGACUACAUCGAUGUCACAGAUCUUGUUGAUGCCCAUGUCAAAGCUCUUGGUAAAGCUGAGCCUAGCAAAGUUGGAAUCUACAAUGUCGGCACAGGGAAAGGUAGGUCAGUGAAGGAGUUUGUAGAAGCGUGCAAGAAGGCGACUGGAGCAACCAUCAAGGUUGACUACCUCGAUCGGAGAGCUGGGGAUUACGCCGAAGUAUACAGCAACCCGGCCAAGAUCCGCGAUGAGCUGAACUGGACAGCCCAACACACGGACCUCCGUGAGAGCCUUGCGACGGCCUGGAAAUGGCAGAAGGCGCACCCGGGCGGAUACGGGUCGGCCUGA